rnacentral:misc_RNA from 2 species
CUGAGUACUACACUCUCUACCCUUUGUGAACUAUUAUACCUGUUGCUUCGGCGGCGCCCGCAAGGGUGCCCGCCGGUCUCAUCAGAAUCUCUGUUUUCGAACCCGACGAUACUUCUGAGUGUUCUUAGCGAACUGUCAAAACUUUUAACAACGGAUCUCUUGGCUCCAGCAUCGAUGAAGAACGCAGCGAAACGCGAUAUGUAAUGUGAAUUGCAGAAUUCAGUGAAUCAUCGAAUCUUUGAACGCACAUGGCGCCUUCCAGUAUCCUGGGAGGCAUGCCUGUCCGAGCGUCGUUUCAACCCUCGAGCCCCUGUGGCCCGGCGUUGGGGAUCUGCCACGGCAGGCCCCUAAAACCAGUGGCGGACCCGAAGGGCCCUCUCCUUUGCGCAGUAGCAUUCGCCUCGCAUUGGGAGUCCUCGGCGUCCUGCCUCUAAACCCCCCACAAGUCCGCUUCGGCGGCAC